AUUAUAUUGCUAUAAAGCAAAAAUAAAGUUUUAUUAUGACAUUAAAAAUAUAUGCUGAAAAAAAAUUAUGUGGAUUUCAAUAAAGUUUUAUUAUGACAUUAAAAUAAAGUUCUUUUCUUUUCAUUUUCAUAUAGCGUUAAAUUUCAUUUUCGGUAUAUUUUUUUCACUUUUAGGUUUAGUGGUUGUAAAUUUGAGGCGGCGAAAGGUGUAACAUCGAUAUAUGGUGAUGCGGAGGUUCCUUUGCAUCAAGACCUAGCUUUGUGGAGGUAGAUGCAGGUCGUGAUCCCCAAAUUUUCUGUUAUCUCCCAAGUUUUCUUUUCGGUUUUUGGUUUCAGUAGCGAGGCGGCUGCAGCUUUCUCGUGAGGAGGUGACUGAUUGUUCUGAAGUUUUGUUGGAGAUUAGAUCCAUGAAUCUUACCUCUCUGCUAUUAGUUUCUUUGAGGACAUUGGCUUGAGCAUGGGGAACUCGGGUUUUCUGAUGGAGGUGGUGGAGGUAAAUUGGUUGUGGAACGUGGCUUCGGCCCCUCUACAUACCGGUUCUGCAUCGGCAAAGACUCUUCAAUUUUUCUUUUUGAAAAUUACCUCUUCGUCCAGUUCGGGAUAAAUGGAGUUUUCGAAGAACAACAGUUUUAGUUGAUGUAGCUGCUGCAGUAGAGGUUUAACUUUGGGCUCGUUUUAUAUUUUGAACUGGUUUGUUCUAGUUUUAGCUCGUUUUUAUUUUCAGCUGUCAUUGUAUGUUUAAAUAACCAAGAAAUGAUAUGAAUAGCUUAAAAUAUAUGUAAUUCAAUAAAUUUGGAACACCGAAAAUUAUAAAGGAAACUUUGCAUCUU